CAGGCUCCGAGCCGUCAGCACACAGCCCGACGCGAGGCUUGAACUCACGAACCGCGAGAUCAUGGCCUGAGCCGAAGUCGGACGCCCAACCGACUGAGCCGCCCAGGCGCUCCCCGAUCCCGGGCUUCUGAUGCUCUGUGCCCACUGCGUUCUAGCCGGAAAAACAUGGAGGAGAGAGGCGGUGUGGUGUGAUGGAAACUAUGUCAUACGCGGAGUGUGGAGAUCCGCGGUCCGCUCUAACUAAGCCUUUGUGACCCGUCCACUUCCAUUUCCUGCACCCUGCCUCUUGGGGUCCACGCAUCCUUGAACCGCGUCGCUCUGGCCUCCUCCGUGCAGCUUCUAGAAUCUUCUGACAUCCCUUGGCUCACUGCCCUCUUCCAAGAAUCGCCUCAGUCCCGUGCUGCUUGUGUUGUCGUGCCUCCUGCUCUGACUCUCCGGCCUCCCUUAUUCUCUUGUAAGGACUCUCGCGGUUACGUCGGACCUGCCCAGAUCAUUCAGGAUAAUCUCGCCAUCACAAGACCCUGAAGUGAAUCACAUUGUCAGCGCCCCUUUUGCUACACAUGGCAACCUAUUCACACAUCCUGGUUAUGGGAACAUGGGUGUCUUACAGAAGGUCAUUCCUCUGCGUAAUAAAUUUUCUAGUUGCAUUUUCCCGUCACCACGGGGACAUUCUAGAAAGUUCUUCAUCCAGCCGAUAUUUGAAGACUGAACUGUAUAUUGCUAUUUAUUUUCUUUGUGACUUCAGAACCAUGCUCUCAUAGAAAAUGUAUUAUGGACACGGUAGAAAGAACUCUUAGGAGUCCUAGUAUUUCCUCCACACACAUCCUUCCCUUAUCACUGUAGCAUAUAUGCAUUUGAGUUUUCCAUUUCAGUGUUACAGGCCAUUGGUCAAACAAAUAGUCUAGCCAUGAUCUCUCACCCACCUUUCCAAAAAGCACAUACAUAUCGCGGUCUAUCACCCAGUUAUAUCCCAUUGAAACCUGUCACGCUAGCCUUUUAGGUGUUUAGAGGAACCCUAAAUUGCAGGAUGCUUUUAAUGACCGGGUAAAUAGACCCUCUUCAAGUAUCCUCGACUGGCUGGCUACCAAUUAAAAUUUCCGGAUCCUAGUAACUGAUUUCCAGAAGGUUCCAUCAGAGAAUAAAAAAUGCUUCGUGAAGAAGGGGGUCUGCAGUGCCACUGAACAAAAGGUGAUGUGCCAAAGGGGUCUGGAGUAUGUCACAGUGGCGUAGGGGUUAUUUUGAGCUGAAGACGGUGAAGAAACCGCAGGUGCAGGAAGAAACUUUUUCUUAACUCCCUUUAUCUUCCUAAAAGCAAAGCCUCCAAAAAAGAAUUCACCUGCCACAAAUCUCCCUCCUGGGGAGUUUCACAUCUGCAGAAGACUGAAUCUUGUCACUGACUAGAAGUCCUCACCAGUCGGGCGCCUGGGUGGCUCAGUCGGUUGAGCAUCGGAUUCUUGAUUUCGGCUCAGGUAAUGCUCUCAUGGUUUGUGGGA